rnacentral:lncRNA from 1 species
AUCUUUGACCGCUAUAGCUUUGGAUAUGUAUUUAGUGAUUCGAGGGUCGACUGAAUCAUACUUCAAAUUUCUCUUCCAUAGGAUUAUUUUCUUUAACCAUCGCUAUCGUAUCACAGGGCUGCCGCUCUUAGCCCACUAAGGUAGCACCCUCGCAUAACCCCCUUGUCACAUUUUAUACGAGCUUCUCCUGCACAAGUAGGAAUUUUACACAUAAUUGGAAAAUGUAAAUUACUACAUUCAUUUUUUUCAUAUACCCUUGGAAUACUCGAGGUUCCUCGCUUAGCUUCACUGCUAGAGUAUAUCGGACCUGACCAUUUCUAGUGAAAUCUUGA